UGCACUUGCACUGUUUUGUUCUGGUAAUUAAGCUUUUGGGCUUCAAUACUAUAAAAUUGUGCUUUACUCGAAAUGUUCAUGUGCUAAAUUUGGUUAUUAUCUACUAAUGGUUGUGUUACUUUUUAGUCAACUUAAUAAGAAUAUACUUUUCCUGGUUUUUAGAUGUUUGAAGUUGUGUUCUUUUGGGCUUGGUCAAUCCUGUUUCCUGCUGCUUGAGUGGCAAGGGACUGUCUCGGGAUUUGUACUAGCUAAAUAUCCAUUCGUUUUGAAUUCACUAAAAAAAUCUCAGGCGAGCAAAAGCUAGUAUAAUGUGAAUUGGGGAAUUUUGGUAGUUCAUGUUGCCUGAGUUCAGCGUUUUAAUGGUGGGUACAUAAGAGUCUUAUCUGCUUUGGAUUAUUAUGUUUGACCAAUAUAAAUGCUCUGCAUAAAUUUGCGAAUGACAGUCAGAUAAAGAAGAUGCCCUCACAUCAUUUACCUCUACUUCCUCUCUACACCUACCUUCUUCCUUUGUAACAUCGUUUUGAUGCUUUAUGGUCAUAAAUGUGAACUUAUUCAUUGCACUGGAUGGAAUCAUAUAUUUUCCAUCUGCUUAAUUGUAAUGUAUUUGAAAUUUGUUGAAUCUUUGGCUGCAAUGCAUGGGAAACAUGUUCGUUGAAGGAUGUAAGAUAAACUCCAUGAAUUAUGGUUCAGCAAUCAACAGAUAAAGUUAAGCUUAUCAAGAAGCUCCAUACGAUUUUAGGCAGUCUGAGAACUCUAAAGUUGCUUGUACUUUUUUUUUCUUUUUUCUGAUUUCUAGGUGUCUAUGGCCAGGUAGGAGAAGGUAUAAAUGGUGGAGCUGCUGUUGUCAGAUAUGUGAAAAAUUGAAAUGCACUAGCAAAGCAUUUAUUUGCUAUCAUGAUCUAAAGAUACAGUGCUUUUUAGUCAUGAUUGUAGCUACUACAAUAUUGCUAAUGUAGAAUACAUAUUUUAUUAAUGAAGAAUAUCCAGUAAUUUCACUGUCCAGAUUGUCUAUUAUGUUGAACUGUCAAAUAAGACCACCCAUGAAGGUGAAGUUUGGCAUUAUUUUGAGAAAGUAAAUCUGGAUGUUGAAUGGCAAUGCUCAAGUCUCGAAGCUUUAUUCUGACAGACUUCCUCUCUUAAUUGAAGUUGCAGGUUGCAGGAGAAUUGGAUUGGCAUUGCCAUCAAUUGAAGGGUUUUGAUUAUGCGCAAUCGUUUGAAACAAGAUAAAACUGAUGGGUUAUAAGGAGCUUGACCUAGGCAUUAGUUAUAUAGAAAUGGUUCAGUUCCAAAUAGUUUGAGCAGAAGGAAGGAAACAGAGAAAGCAUAUGCUAAAUAUAUAUAUGUUUUUAUGAAGAUAACAAUAAAUGAUGCUGCAAUUUUGUUAAAAUGGCAGCACCAGGGGAUUAACACAUUGUAGCUGGACUACAUGUUUUUACACCUAGUCUUAUGUGAGUAUGUUUCUGUACAAAGCGAUAAGAUGUUACUUUGUGUAUUAAUAUCUGCUAAUUUUUGAAAAUCAACGCUACAGUGUUGGCCUUCAUGAUUAAAAUUUUUGGAGCAAUGUUGAUUGAUUCAUAGAAAAGGUGAAUUUUGUAAACUUGUCGAAUGGUGUGAGGUAAUUUGAUGAUUCUGUCACCUCACCCCCUCCCCCCCCCGGGGAAAAAAUUGACAGCCAAAGUUCUAGUUUUUUUAAAAAAUUUACUUAGAUGUGGCGUGCAUGCUUUCAAUGUGAGCACUGUUGGGUGACAAAAAAACAUCUCACACAAAAGAAUUAGAUAAUGGAUAUAUAGAACUCCUAUUGCUUCCCUUUAUCCUUUUUGAACUGCCAUGGUAUAGGUUUGCCAAAUUAAGGAGCGUUUUGGAAAGUUGUACGACAACCGUGUGACCUUUUUGCUGUGAAUAUUUUGUGUUACUGAAGUUUUCAACUUCAAAGCAUCUUGGCUUCCCAGGUUUAGGUAUCGCUGUCAUAGCUUAUUAAUGGCCAUACCUUUUUUUUCGUUUUUUUGUGAUGUAAAACAAUGGCCAUACUUUGAAAUCAGAGUUCUUCUAUAAUUACUGCCUUUCCACAAAUUUUCCUGAGAGGGAGGACUUGGGAAUCUAUUAUGAAAACAAACAAGAAUUAUAAUCUUGCCUGUUGAUGUAUAUAUUUUCUGAUUUUACUUGAUAUGGCAUAUCAUACUUUAAAUUAACUCUCAAAAAAAUAGCCUGAUCUGGUGUUUUAGUUUAGUUGGUUGUUAGAGCUGGUUUUGGUGAGAACUAGUUUUAGAGAAAUAAAAUUAGGUGGUGUGAAUAAGACAUGGUUUUAUGGUUUUUCAAUCUAUGGUGUAUUUGGUUGAAGCCUUGAAGGUUUUAAAUUUGCUUGCUUAUUAGGGUUUGAAGGUGUGUCUUUUGUAAAGUGGACAAGGUUACUCUUGCCAACGUGAGAGAGUGAUGAAAUUAAUAUUGAUAAUCAUAAAAAAAAAUAUUUUACAGCAUAUGAUAUUACUGACCAGAAUAUUAAUUUGGUAAAAGAUAUAAUACUCAACUCAACUAAGCCUUAAUUCUAUAUGUCCGAUGCUUAUUUUUGGUACUAGCUAAUCACAAAAACCAUUCACAAAUAUAUGUUUCAUUAAUCUGCAGAUUGCAGAAGAUAUUGGAUGCUGACAUAAAUUGAGGUAGACUGUUGCAAGGCUAAGUUUAAGAUUGAAUAUCAUUGAGUAAAAUCAAUAGAUAGUGAUCUAGAAUAUCCAAAAUGCCGAUAGGCCAAAAAUUGUCUUUUGAAGACCUCUUGCAUUGCAUUCUUGCCUAUGCAUCAAUCUGCCCAACUUUCUGAUUUAUGGACUAAAAGCAAUUUAAAAAGUUUGAUUUUGGUUUUUAUAUGAUUUACGAUGCCCAGAUCAGGGUCAGUGGUUUUGGGUUUUAAUUUUUAUAGCUUACAACUCAUUUUGGAGCACUAGCUCUAUUUGUGUCAUCCAUCUUGGGACAACUUGAUUUAUUGUUUAGGGGCCUUAAAAACAUUGUGGGCAAUAUAGAUUUUUUAGUUCAUGUCCAUUGGUUUGGAGUUACAUUCUGCAGUCCCCAUCUUUAAAUUUUAUCCUACAGGUUUUGCCCUCAGAUUUGUUUGACCUCAUGAUAGCCUCUCUCUGCUAUGUACACCAGAGCUAGAGUACAUUCUCUGCAGCAAAGUCAAUGACAAUGGAUGUUGAUGUGCACCAGGAUUGGUGGUUCUGAGGUGAUACUCUAAUUGAUUAAUAACUAUGGAAACAUGCACCUAUCUGAAGGCUAAGAUAGCUAAUAUAGGAAUUAAUUUUGAUGCACAUCAACAGCUUGCGACUUAAUGAGAAGUGUGUAACAUAUGGUUCCAUAUCCAAUCCAGUUGGAAGGGGAAAGCUUUGCCUUGAAAGAGAAGCCAGAUAGUUGGAGCUUUGUUGCUGAAGCAUCAGGUGUACGCCAAAUGGAUGAUUCCAAUAAAGCAAUGGUAUUCUGAUUCAUGUUGGCUGAAAAAAUCUGCAUUAUUAUUCAUUUUCAAUAUGCGUUAAUGUCAUAGUCAUUCCUCUAAAUUAUAAAUCUGAUUAAGUAGUUAUUAAAUUUUGUCAAUCUCAUCAUGACUUGAUGCAACAAGAAAAUAAUCUAUGAAUUUUGGCUUUUAAGCAUUUUCAAUUUUGUAAAUCAUAUUAAUGGUAUGAAUUCUCAUAUCAGAUGGCCCGACAUAUAUUUUACAAUAUAGGAAUUGGCUGAGCUGGGAUUGUAGCUUAAUAAUACAUACAUAUAUGCUUCAAUCUGCAUUAUGUUUAUGUAUGUACUAAUGAUGAUGAGUUUUAGAAUAUGAGCUUCAUUUGAUUCGCAGCCGCAAUCAAAAACAUAUCAUUAACGAUAACAUGGUCUCAUAGAUCAGUCAUGUUUUAGUGACUGCAAGUAGUUACCUCUUUGUAAAGGAGGCUCUAAAAAUAAUUUGAGGGGAGCAAAAGUACAAGCUUUAUUUAAACCUCCACCCACAUCCUCCACGUUUGUGCAUGUCCAAAUUAGUUUGAACACUCCUAUCAAAAUCACUUUCUUGUGUUACAUUGUGUUUAAUGUAGAUGGGGAGAAAAAUUGAGUUGCCUGAGGACAAGGUACAGCUGGGUUGGACUUAAUUACACAUGUUUUAUGAGCGACAAUGAAGUGGUAAUUGGAAGGAUUUCCAUAGAUGCAAUUUGGUAUACUACUGAGUACUGACCCUCCUUUGAUCUGGUAGGUUCUUCUAGCUAUAACCUUGAAAUUCAUCUUUGUCAUAACUCAUAAGUUAACUCUUCUAAAAGACAAUGGGUUUAUCAACAUUUUAUGGUCUUUAUAAUUGUCACCUACUUCAUAUAUUUGAAAUAUUCUUUAUAAUUUUUUUUCAUCAAACUGGGUCUAGCAGCAAAAUUUUACAUGUUAUGUUCUUUUCAUUACAUUCUCUUUACCAUUGGGCCAAAAUGCUGGCGAGGCUUGCUCACCAAGUAUUGCAGAAGGCGCUAACUUGGUAUCUCCGUGGAGACAAUCUGUUAAUAUCCUGUAUUAAGCCUUGCAGAAUUGGCAAAGAUUGGGAGGGAGGCUCUGGAUUGGGUGAUAUAAUGCUAGAGGCUUGGAGGCUACAUCAGGAGUUGGACCCUUUCUGCAGCAAACUGAGUUUCCAGACAAGCUCUUUACCGUUGCUUAACCCUACUGCUGUGGCUGGGCUACAAGUUGGUGGGUGCUGGUGGAGGUGGUUUUGCUUUGGUACUUGCAAGAACCCUCAUUUUGCACAAGAGCUAACACGAGCACUCGAAGAAUCUUCAGAUCUUGAUGUAAUGUACAACUGGAGCAUAUACUUAUCCUAUCAGCUGCUUAGUAUUUUUUGCAUAUUUAGCUAUUCUCUUUUGCUGGAGGUAUGCACAUUUUUAGCCCAAAGAAUCGAACUCACAAUAUGCGUCGGAACAGGACAUCGGAUUGACAGGCUUUCUGCUGUAUUGCUGCAUGGAACUAUCACUUCAUACCCAUUUUGGUGGUUGCAGACAGCCAGGGGCUCACAGUGGAGCUGCUGGUAUUCAUAAUCACCCUACACUUUCCAGUUGCAAUCAUUGCUGUAGUUUAUGACAAGCGGUUAAACCAUACUGUUCGAGUCUAUAUCACAGGAGACUGGAUACGAGUAUUUGAUCUAUUCAAUUUUUUAAACUGUGUAAGCAUCGGCGAGAUUCGAUAAAAAUGUUCAUCCUUUGGUGUUAGUGUUUCA